AUAGAUUGAUAAAAGUGUGCACAGAAACCUUGGGGUGACUCUCAGGAAGAGAAACAUCAUUAUUAUAGUAUUUAUGUUUAUUUUUUACCUUUCAGAAAGAAAAUGACCGAGAUCACAAGGUCAGGCUUGCUAUCGGCAACGGCAUACGGACAGAUACUUGGUCCGAGUUUCUUCAGAGGUACGGAGAUGUACGAAUCUGCGAGUGUUACGGCGCAACUGAGAGCAAUGUUGGCUUUCUGAACUACAUCGGGAAACUUGGUGCAUGUGGACGGGAGUUUUUUCUGUAUAAGAUGUUUUGCCGUUACGCUUUGAUUAAAUAUGACACAGAGAAGGAAGAACCAGUGAGGGACUCCAGAGGGUUCUGUGUGCAGGUGCCAAAAGGAGAAACCGGGCUUUUAGUGGC